rnacentral:rRNA from 1 species
UGGGGAAUAUUGGACAAUGGGGGAAACCCUGAUCCAGCAAUGCCGCGUGAGUGAAGAAGGCCUUAGGGUUGUACAGCUCUUUCGCCCGCGAAGAUAAUGACGGUAGCGGGAGAAGAAGCCCCGGCUAACUCCGUGCCAGCAGCCGCGGUCAUACGGAGGGGGCUAGCGUUGUUCGGAAUUACUGGGCGUAAAGCGUACGUAGGCGGAUGCGCAAGUUGGGGGUGAAAUCCCGGGGCUUAACCUCGGAAUUGCCCUCAAAACUGCACGUCUUGAGACCGAGAGAGGUAAGGGGAAUUCCUAGUGUAGAGGUGAAAUUCGUAGAUAUUAGGAAGAACACCAGUGGCGAAGGCGCCUUACUGGCUCGGUACUGACGCUGGGGUACGAAAGCGUGGGGAGCAAACA